rnacentral:rRNA from 1 species
CCCCUAGAUGUUCUGGGCCGCACGCGCGCUACACUGAACAGUUCAACAAGUCUUAACCUUGGCCGAUAGGUCUGGGUAAUCUUUGAACGCUGGUCGUGAUGGGGAUAGACUUUUGCAAUUUUUGGUCUUCAACGAGGAAUUCCUAGUAAACGCAAGUCAUCAACUUGCAUUGAUUACGUCCCUGCCCUUUGUACACACCGCCCGUCGCACCUACCGAUUGAAUGGUCCGGUGAAGCCUCCGGAUUGGCGCGCACCUCGGUGCCGCCGAGAAGUUGGCUAAACCUUNCNAUUUAGNGGAAGGUGAANUCGUANCA